GGUCUUGGAGCCAUUUUUCAAGACCAGGUGGUGAAUACCCGACAGUACUUGGAACAUGUGAAAGACUCCACAACAGGAAUGCAAGGUAGAGUGGUGAAGCUAUUCCCCAACCAUUUCCGAGUGACCUCUCGCCCUGAACCCCUCACGUAUAAGUACAACAUUGAUUACAUGCCAGAGGUUGAAGAGGGAAAAGUUCGUACAGAUCUGCUCUGCCAGCAUAAACACGUAAUUGAAGAGUGUCCCACAUUUGAUGGGAACUCUUUAUUACUGCCUCAUAAACUACAAAAGCAGGUGUAUCUCCGUGUUUGUUAGUAAAUCUUCAUAAUAUUCACUGCGGUUUCCACGAAAUCCAUUCUUCCAAUUUCUAGAAUUUCGAAGAUGAUGGAUUUGAAGCAAGUUGGUCGCAACUAUUACAACGAGAAUGAGGCCACGGAGUUCCUCAAUCAUAAAGUUUCAAGACCGCUUUCUUGGGGUAGGAAUACUCGUUUCCUCAAAUAUUGCUGGGACCACUGGAUAUCCACCUGGCCGUUCCUCACAGAAGAUACAAAAUUAACUCCAAUUUAUCCCCAAAAUUAACUAAAAAUAGACCUAAAUGUAUAACAAUAGAACCUAUCGAGUGGAUGCUAUUAAUUGGGAGGAGACUCCCAGAAGUACGUUUAAGAAAUCAGGUGGUGAGGAAAUCACCUUCAUAGACUACUACAAGGAGGUCUAACAGAUGAACUGCAUAAAGACUACAGAGUGAAGAGAGACAUGGCUGUGCAUACAAGGUUGGAUCCAGAAAAAAAGGCAGCAUGAAUUACAAAGAUUCACGAAUAUUGGACAAAAAAAUAAGAGUGCACAAAAGGAACUCCAACUUUGGGAUUUGAAAUUUGACCCCAACUUCGUGUCCUUCUCAGGAAGAAUUAUGAAAGAAGUAAGAAUUCUUCAAAGAAGCAGAGUGCUCAAGUUUGGACAUGUGUGAAAAUGUACAAGAAGCACGAGAAUUGAGAAGCACUUGACUUCUGAGUUCGGUUCCAUGUGGAAUAAAAACACAUGUGGCACCAUUUCUGUCAUCAGGAAAUCUCAGUCCUCCCAGAAUUAAAUUAAAACAUAAUCGGAUGAUGAAAUAGAACUGAGCCCCCUUUGAAAGGAGUUGGAAACCAGAGAAGAAUCUCCUAGAGGAGGAGUCCACUCUUCUGCAACCUCCUUUUUGCUGAUCAUGACUUGGACUGUUGUACGAGAUGUUGAAUUCAGUUUCUCCCAUUGAUUGGUUCAACCUCUCAGCUGCUGCUGUGGGUCUGAGCCACGGCCAGGUUGGAGUGGUUCUGUGAGUUGGGAGGAUCUCUCAGCCUAGACUGGCAAUUGCAGGCAGAAAUAGAAUGGGACCCACCCAUGUCAACUACACAUUGUCUAGUAGCUCUAUGGUAAAAAGAAACAAGUCAAAAAUCAAAUCAUUGUAAUGGGCAAAAUGGUACCACUUCAACGUGUAUUUGAUUUCAAAAAUACAUUGUUUUUAAAACCUCAACAAGAAAGUUUCUUCUUCUUCUUCUUCUUCUUCU